CUCACACACCCAUCAUCCAGCACUCACUCACACAUCAUCCAGCACUCACUCACACACCCAUCAUCCAGCACACACUCACACACCCAUCAUCCAGCACACACACACCCAUCAUCCAGCACACACACACACACACCCAUCAUCCAGCACACACACACCCAUCAUCCAGCACUCACACACACACCCAUCAUCCAGCACACACACACACAUCAUCC